rfam:Rhodobacteraceae bacterium GWF1_65_7 gwf1_scaffold_1312, whole genome shotgun sequence.
GCAGCGGACCGGGCCCCUCUGACGCGACAAUCGCGUGAUGUCGGACCGCAUCG